GGACUUGGCGGUGCAUUAAUCCACCCAGGGGAACCUGGCCCUUAAAUCGAUGAUCCGCGAACUUCUUACCUUCUCUUGUAUAAGUUUUCCUUUAGGGGGAACUUAUGUCAGUUUGCAUACCGCCGUUUUCAGCUUGUAUCGCGAGGUAAAAGAAACAGGCUAUUCAGUAAGUGAACGUUUGUCUACGCAGGUGAAAUUUAUGUUUUACCAGGGGGCAAUGGGACUGCUAGGAAUUCAGGUAAAAGUGCAGCCUAUGGGAAGGGGGCAGCUGGGUUACAGUUGGUGUUUGAAUUGGAAUGUAGUCCGAAGUGGCUGUGUGAAAGAGUACUUGGAAGUAAUGACUUUAGGCAAUGGAGUCGUGAAUGGUGCUCUAGUGUGUGUACAAAUC
rnacentral:rRNA from 1 species